AUUCCAUCGGUACUAUGGCCUGUUGAUUCGGCACCUUUGUCAUUUUAGCAACUUUUGUUUUCUUUUCUGUGUCGAUGUAGUUCUCUAUACCAUAUUCAUGUUCAUAUUCAUGUUCAUAUUCAUGUUCAUAUCAAUGUCCAUAUCAAUGUCCAUAUCAAUUUCCCAUGUUCCAUUACAUAUCCCGUGUUCUUUCCUUCUUCCAGCUUUUACAUGCUAGCCUUUUAUACAAUGAUUCCUCUCAUCUCGACUCGCUUGAUGAAUGGGCGUUUAGUUUUUGCAACAACAUAUGCGUUGGGUUAUCUCAUAUCGGGAAACACUUUCUGCCACUUUUAACUUGAACAAAGUUGGAGAAAUAAAGUGAUGGCAGAUAUUGCAAGUUGUUUAUAGUGUGCCUGUAGAAAUGUAAAAACGCUAUGUUUCGUGAAUGCCCAGCCUGUAAAUCGAAAUAAGAUUUCGUAUUUAUUAAGCAUUGGAAGAUCACAAUUGGAAAAAACACGAUACGGUUGGUCUCUUCACAGUCGUUCUCCAGUAAUCACAAACAUGAAACCUAAAUAUACGGUAACUUUGCACCUAUUAGGACAACGCCUCAAGUGACUGCAUUAAAGCAUAAUACCGAAGCACUGACAUAACAGAGAGGUUCAGAAAGGAAUUUAAAGAUUGACUUUUUCGACAAACUUCAUGUUACAAGUCUUAUCGUUUGUGUUUAUAAAUCAUCAGCCUCUCUCUAUAUCUCUAUAUCUCUAUAUCUCUAUAUAUCAGAUAUAAAGAUGCAAGUUUUGAAGUANAAUUCCGCACAAGGUCUAGUACAC
rnacentral:sRNA from 1 species